GCUGGUAUUGUGGGUAACAUUCAUGGCAGAGCUUAGUCCAUUUUAGCACUAAAGGUUGGUCUGGGCAUCAUUUGCACACCUGAUGACUGAGGACCUAAUUAAAUGAGACUGCCUCAGAAUUCACCCAUCAUCUCGUCUAGCUGAAUUGUCAGUGCAAUGUUCUUCAAUGACUACACAUUCGUUUUCUUACUUACAUGACUUAUUGUCUUUCCACAUUAUAGAACCUUAAAUUCCCCAAGGAGUUGGAAUGUAUCUUUUCAUCCUCACACCAAGCAAUUGCAAGUGCUUCUAAUAAAACCAACAGGUGCUUUAUAAAUGGUCAACAUUUGCCGUAUUAUAGACCCAGAACAGAGGGCGCUAUGACCUAUAGGACAAAUCUAGUCUACUGUCUACUUUUGUAAAUAAGCUUUGUUGGAAAGCAGUCUGGGUCACAGUUUACUUCUCUAUGAACAUAUCACUGAUGGCUGCAUUAAUGUCUAUCAGUUAUAGAAUGGCCCACAGAGGAAAACUAUUUACCCUAAGGAUAGAGAAUACCCUGGAAAGGAGCUGCAAGCAUGUCUGUGUCAUGAGUCAUUCUCUUAGAACUUCUGUUUUUCCAACAUGCAGGGCACUGACUUCACCUCACACUGCAAUGCAGAAGAAAUAAGCCCUGAGAAAUAGGAUUUGCAGCUCGAGAGCAAGCCAAAUCGUGUCACUUUGCAGAAACUAUGUACUUUAUAUGGCAGGAUUCUUGCCUUAUUUAUGUGAAAAAAAAAAAACCCUAUUGCAUUUCACAGAGGUAGUAACACCAUUCUGUGUUGUAUAUUGGAGGAAAAACAAUUUUAGAACAAAGCUCUUGGAGCACGUGCUUCUCAGAAUCAUUUAUAAAGAAUGAGAGGCAAUUAGUCAGGAAAACCCUGGAUCUUCACUGAGAUCAGCUCCAUUUUUAAACUCACCUCCAGGUUCUAAAAGUGAAUUGUUCUUUUGGCAGUUUUCUCAGCCCAAAAAAUUAUCAUAAUGUAUAGAAUUAACAUUUGGUUCAUUUAAAUCUUGCAUAAUAUAUUGAGGGAAAUCUUUAAGCUGCAUGGAAUUGAGA